rnacentral:sRNA from 1 species
UUUAUUUUGAGAUGGAGUCUUGCUCUGUCACCUAGGCUGGAGCGCAGUGGCACGAUCUUGGCUCACUGCAACCUCCACCUCCCAGGAGAAUCCCCUGAAUCCCAGAGGCAGAGGUUGCAGUGAGCCGAGAUCGAGCCACUGUUUGCCCAGUCUAGUGCACUGGGCUGCUGAAUUUAUUUGACCAGACACCUAGCAAUAGACUUUGAAGUUCUUUUCCACUUUUCACUCUAAGAUGCUGCUGUCAUGAAUAAGGAAUUUUUUGAUCCCCUUCACAAACACUCGGGGCCCUCUUACCAGUUUUCACUGAAGAUCUUGACAUUCCUAUCUGCUUAGGUGUCUGGGUGUGUUUGGGGGAGAUACUGAAGAGGUAGGGCUCCCAGGCAGGUGCAGUUCGUCUGUUAGGCAGGCAGCAAGGUCCACUUCACCAAACACCCCCACCUCUGUUUUCCUGCAGGGACUCCAGAACGGGUGGAACUGGCACCCCUCCCCUCUUGGCAGCCAGUGGGCAAGGACCUUACCCUACGCUGCCAGGUGGAGGGUGGGGCACCCCGGGCCAACCU